UAGGUUGGAGGGUGGGGGAUAACACCUUUAUCCUCAGGGUAUGUUCAAGGGUAUUUUUGGAAUUUCAUUACCUGAGAGUUAGUAUAAAUACCUAUAAGGGUAAUUAGAGAUAUAGUGAAAGUUUUCUUCCCUGUUCCGUGGAUAUAGACAAUCUUCCUAACCACAUUAAAUCUAUGAGCUUUUCUUUUCGUUUGGAAUCGUUGCAUGAAAGUCAACACCUACAUUUCUCUUUCUUUCUAAGGAGAAAUGAAGCUUGAAGUGAAGAGAAGCCUUAUUCUUUGUUUUCUCACAAUCACCAUCCUAUUUCUUGGUGAGAAGAUGGAAUCAGUUAAUGCACAAAGCAGGGAAGGGGGAUAUGCACCCAGAUUGGUCACUGUGCGGCGGGUGGGAAGCCCAGACCGCAAGCCACCGAGCCCACCACCACCUCCUCCAACGGCGCCACCAGGACCAGGGAUGCUCACUUGACCUUUUUCUUGGAUCCCAAACUUUCUAUGAUGUAUCUCUAAGAAAAGAAUGAAAUAAGACCGACAAAAUAAAGAACAAAAGUAUUGAUAAUUUACGCCUUA